AUGUCUGCUCCACAGAGCAUGCGUCGCAGUUGCCCACGGCUGCUGUGGAGGGCUCCUGCCAUGGUGUUGCUCGCGUCUCGUCGAGCUAUCCCGCGCUGCUUCCAGGUAGGCGUAGGGUGCUCCAGCGGCGACGUCGGCGGCAGCGCGAAAGAAGAAGAGUUGUGGGCAAGCGUCGACGGGAACCAGACCGUGUUCGUGGACAGAGCGCCGGUGGACGUCAUGUGGGACCUGCACGGCUGGUGGUUCCGGGAGCCUCCGUACGGCAGCGCCGUGGUCAUGCUCCGGGCGCGCAGCGCGCUGGAGAGCCGGCUGUGGCUAGAGGAGGAGGAGGUCGCCACCGCCGCGCCGGGGUUCUCGCUCGUCCUCUAG
rnacentral:rRNA from 1 species